AAUAGAUACCCAGGUAGUCCACGCCGUAAACGAUGAAUGCUAGGUGUUAGGGGUUUCGAUACCCUUGGUGCCGAAGUUAACACAUUAAGCAUUCCGCCUGGGGAGUACGGCCGCAAGGCUGAAACUCAAAGGAAUUGACGGGGACCCGCACAAGCAGUGGAGUAUGUGGUUUAAUUCGAAGCAACGCGAAGAACCUUACCAGGUCUUGACAUCCCCCUGACCGGUACAGAGAUGUACCUUUCCUUCGGGACAGGGGAGACAGGUGGUGCAUGGUUGUCGUCAGCUCGUGUCGUGAGAUGUUGGGUUAAGUCCCGCAACGAGCGCAACCCUUGACUUUAGUUGCCAGCAGGUAAGGCUGGGCACUCUAGAGUGACUGCCGGUGACAAACCGGAGGAAGGUGGGGAUGACGUCAAAUCAUCAUGCCCCUUAUGACCUGGGCUACACACGUACUACAAUGGCCGGUACAACGGGAAGCGAAGGAGCGAUCUGGAGCGAAUCCUAUAAAGCCGGUCUCAGUUCGGAUUGCAGGCUGCAACUCG
rnacentral:rRNA from 1 species